UAAAACCCAAAAGAAUCAUAUCUUGCUUAUUUAUCAUUCAUCCAUUAGUCUCUCGGUUUCUCUUCUUGUUUCUAUUGAAAACUCAUAAAAGUUCAUAUCUGUUUCAGGUACAAUCCCAAACAAGAGACGACCCGGCCGGUACCGUCCAUCCGAGCCAAGGCUGAACCGCGGAACGGCCAUCCGACCGUCCGUCCGUCCGUCCAAUCCGACCAUCCGUCCUGUGCCUACAACAUUUUGGUAUCAGAGCUGAAGUUUCCUGUGAAACUCAGUUCUUUCUGAACCCUAGCCGUUGCAGUUCAAAAAAAAAAUAUUUACUUUCCAUAUUUUGAAAUUUUUGGAUUGUUCUCCAAGUUUUCGAUUUUUGCAUUUAAAAAAAAAAAAUCAAAUAGUUUUGCUUUCCUUCCAAGCUUUCGAAAAUCAAAAAAAUAUUCCCACUUUCCUUUUUCAAUCUUGAUUCGAUUUUCAUCUUUAAAUUUUGCAUUUACUCUUUGUCUUGGUCGAUACUCUAGUAUCCGACCCAAGCCUCU
rnacentral:lncRNA from 1 species